rnacentral:rRNA from 1 species
AUUGAACGCUGGCGGCAGGCCUAACACAUGCAAGUCGAACGGUAACAGGAAGAAGCUUGCUUCUUUGCUGACGAGUGGCGGACGGGUGAGUAAUGUCUGGGAAACUGCCUGAUGGAGGGGGAUAACUACUGGAAACGGUAGCUAAUACCGCAUAACGUCGCAAGACCAAAGAGGGGGACCUUCGGGCCUCUUGCCAUCGGAUGUGCCCAGAUGGGAUUAGCUAGUUGGUGGGGUAACGGCUCACCAAGGCGACGAUCCCUGGCGGGUCUGAGAGGAUGACCAGCCACACUGGAACUGAGACACGGUCCAGACUCCUACGGGAGGCAGCAGUGGGGAAUAUUGCACAAUGGGCGCAAGCCUGAUGCAGCCAUGCCGCGUGUAUGAAGAAGGCCUUCGGGUUGUAAAGUACUUUCAGCGGGGAGGAAGGGAGUAAAGUUAAUACCUUUGCUCAUUGACGUUACCCGCAGAAGAAGCACCGGCUAACUCCGUGCCAGCAGCCGCCGUAA